rnacentral:rRNA from 1 species
UACGGGGGGAGCAAGCGUUGUUCGGAUUUACUGGGCGUAAAGGGCGCGUAGGCGGUCAGCACAAGUCAGUUGUGAAAUCUCCGGGCUUAACUCGGAAAGGUCAACUGAUACUGUGCGACUAGAGUGCAGAAGGGGCAACUGGAAUUCUCGGUGUAGGCGGUGAAAUGCGUAGAUAUCGAGAGGAACACCUGCGGCGAAGGCGGGUUGCUGGGCUGACACUGACGCUGAUGCGCGAAAGCCAGGGGAGCGAACAGG